rnacentral:rRNA from 1 species
GACGAACGCUGGCGGCGCGCCAACACAUGCAAGUCGAACGGAGCGUACUGUGUGAAGCCCUUCGGGGUAGAACUUUGUAUUGCUUAGUGGCGAACGGGUGAGUAACACGUGAGCAACCUACCCUAGAGUGGGGGACAACAUCUGGAAACGGAUGCUAAUACCGCAUAAGACCACGAGGUCACAUGACCUUGAGGCCAAAGGAUUUAUUCGCUUUAGGAUGGACUCGCGUCCAAUUAGCUAGUUGGUGAGGUAAAGGCCCACCAAGGCGACGAUUGGUAGCCGGACUGAGAGGUUGAACGGCCACAUUGGGACUGAGACACGGCCCAGACUCCUACGGGAGGCAGCAGUGGGGAAUAUUGCACAAUGGGGGAAACCCUGAUGCAGCGACGCCGAGUGAGGGAAGAAGGUUUUCGGAUUGUAAACCUCUGUCCCGGUUGAAGAUAAUGACGGUAGACCGGGAGGAAGCUACGGCUAAUUACGUGCCAGCCGCCGCCGUAAUAC